rnacentral:rRNA from 1 species
UACGAAGGGGGCUAGCGUUGUUCGGAAUUACUGGGCGUAAAGCGCACGUAGGCGGGUUUGUAAGUAGGGGGUGAAAUCCCGGGGCUCAACCUCGGAAUUGCCUUCUAGACUGCAAGCCUGGAGGUCAGGAGAGGCGAGUGGAAUACCGAGUGUAGAGGUGAAAUUCGUAGAUAUUCGGUGGAACACCAGUGGCGAAGGCGACUCGCUGGACUGAUACUGACGCUGAGGUGCGAAAGCGUGGGGAGCAAACAGG